ACCCUCCACUCAAGUAUAGGCUUCCGAAAGGGAGAUUAAUCCUUGAUAUGGUCAUUCUCUCUCCUGUUAGAAUGAUAAAAGGACAUCGUUUCGGUAGAGGAUGGGGAUGCGUUCCAUUAGGUAGUAGGUGGUUUAACAGGCCACCUAGCCGAUGAUGGAUAGGAGUUCUGAGAGGAAUAUCCCCCACACUGGUACUGAGAUACGGACCAGACUCCUACGGGAGGCAGCAGUGAGGAAUAUUGGUCAAUGGGCGCAAGCCUGAACCAGCCAUGUAGCGUGAAGGAUGACAGUUUUUUUGAUUGUAAACUUCUUU
rnacentral:rRNA from 1 species